CGCCCCUCUAUCGCUCUCUUUACCAUGGUGGCUCACAAGGCUGAGGACCCUGCUGGUGGUGGUAAAGUGCCGCAGUUCGUGGCGAAGACGCCUGCCGCUGCCGUGGUUCGUCCUCCGGGUUGAGGGACGAAUCCGAGGAACCGAGGACGGAGGACCCCAAUGGUACCGGCCCUCGGCGAUGCGCAGCCUGGAACUUUCUUACCGUGCUCCCGUGUCGGAAAACUGACUGCUGUCAGUGUCUCUCUGCCCUCAAGAUGACAGCGGCGCUCCCUAGUGUCAGAAUCAGAACGAGCUUUAUUGCCAAGAUUUUCCCGAAUCUAGUCGGAGUCGUGUCUGCAGAAAUGGACAUGCUUCUCCACCUCUGCCUGCAUUCUGUAAUCAGGACCUGAGAUGCCUUUGGGUAAACUGGUAGUGUCACCAGACCCAGAAGUACCACUUUGACCAUCCGCAUGGAGCCUUUUUUCCAAUUGGAGUGUGAAGAGGUGCGGCCGACAUGCGUCCUGGCUCACUUGGCUGUCGACGAGGGACACUUGCAGUAGCUAGGCCCCAUGAAAAUAGACUGCUGCUGCUUUCGUUAACUUAGACUUUUUAAAGAAUUUUUCUCGUACUGUUGGAUGCCUUUGAAUGUGAAAUAAAAAACGAAAUUUGAGUUUU